UAGGGAAUCUUCGGCAAUGGACGAAAGUCUGACCGAGCAACGCCGCGUGAGUGAAGAAGGUUUUCGGAUCGUAAAACUCUGUUGUUAGAGAAGAACAAGGACGUUAGUAACUGAACGUCCCCUGACGGUAUCUAACCAGAAAGCCACGGCUAACUACGUGCCAGCAGCCGCGGUAAUACGUAGGUGGCAAGCGUUGUCCGGAUUUAUUGGGCGUAAAGCGAGCGCAGGCGGUUUCUUAAGUCUGAUGUGAAAGCCCCCGGCUCAACCGGGGAGGGUCAUUGGAAACUGGGAGACUUGAGUGCAGAAGAGGAGAGUGGAAUUCCAUGUGUAGCGGUGAAAUGCGUAGAUAUAUGGAGGAACACCAGUGGCGAAGGCGGCUCUCUGGUCUGUAACUCACGCUGAGGCUCGAAAGCGUGGGGAGCAAACAGG
rnacentral:rRNA from 1 species